rnacentral:rRNA from 1 species
GACAGAGGUGCCAAGCGUUAGGCGGAAUCACUGGGCUAAAAGCGUGUGUAGGCGGGUCGUUAAGUGUCUUGUGAAAUCCCCCGGCUCAACCGGGGAAUGGCUGGGCAUACUGGCGAUCUUGAGCAGUCUAGGGGCAGAUGGAACAGACGGUGGAGCGGUGAAAUGCGCAGAUAUCGGGAAGAACACCCGUGGCUAAGGCGGCUCUCUAGUACGGUACUGACGCUGAGACGCGAAAGCGUGGGGAGCGAACAGG